GCCGAAGUGGUGGAAUCUGGUAGACACGCAUGAUUCAGGUUCAUGUGCUCGUUAGGGCGUGGGAGUUCGAGUCUCCCCUUCGGCA
rnacentral:tRNA from 1 species